CUGAUUUUCUCCAAUUCUUCCUGUGCAUUUGUGGUUUUCUACAGAAGCCCUCUAGCCAAGGCCUCAGGCAGUCCUACCAGAUGAAUAUGGGCCCUUGAGUUUUCUAGGAGGUCUAUUCUGCCGCCCUGGGUCUCAUCCAACUGAUAUCCAUCUAAACAUUCCCACCCAGGGUUAUUUAUGCUAGAGGAGGAAGAAUGCCCUUUCCAGAGCCAGUUCUUGGGGAAAAGAGGAACUGUUGAUAUAACCAGAGCCGGAAAAGAAGAUUACACUGUAACAGCUAAAGGCAGUGGGAAGAAACCACUAAGAAGCUGAAGGCAAAAGCUGUUGCUGAGAGAAAUAGUAAUUCAGGGAGGAAGAGAAGAAGAAACAUGAACAAGAGCUCAGGAAGAGGAGAGGGCACUUCUUUUAAGCUGGGGGUGGAAGGGAAUUAUUUGUUGUGAAGAAAAUUGAAUGAGCAUAAACAAACCUGCAAUGUCGAUAUACGGAGUUGUGUUCCAUCUCCACUGAGAUCAGAUGUCUGCAAGUCUAUAUGUUUAUAAUACUGAAUAUAACAUCAGAAACAAA